AUUGAACGCUGGCGGCAGGCUCAACACAUGCAAGUCGAACGGAGAUGAGGUGCUUGCACCUUAUCUUAGCGGCGGACGGGUGAGUAAUGCUUAGGAAUCUGCCUAUUAGUGGGGGACAACAUUCCGAAAGGAAUGCUAAUACCGCAUACGUCCUACGGGAGAAAGCAGGGGAUCUUCGGACCUUGCGCUAAUAGAUGAGCCUAAGUCGGAUUAGCUAGUUGGUGGGGUAAAGGCCUACGAAGGCGACGAUCUGUAGCGGGUCUGAGAGGAUGAUCCGCCACACUGGGACUGAGACACGGCCCAGACUCCUACGGGAGGCAGCAGUGGGAAAUAUUGGACAAUGGGGGGAACCCUGAUCCAGCCAUGCCGCGUGUGUGAAGAAGGCCUUAUGGUUGUAAAGCACUUUAAGCGAGGAGGAGGCUACUGAGACUAAUACUCUUGGAUAGUGGACGUUACUCGCAGAAUAAGCACCGGCUAACUCUGUGCCAGCAGCCGCCGUAACAC
rnacentral:rRNA from 1 species